AUUUCAAACUAUCUCUAUCUGAAAAAAAUGCAAACCUCUUAUCUGGUAUUCCUCGAUCAAACGUUCCUAGAUAUUCGCAGAAUGACGAUCUCCGUUGUGGAACAGCAUUUUAGUAUCAGUAAAAUACUUCUGCGUGCAGUUGCCAUAUGGCCUUAUCAUCGAACGAAACUUGUUAAAUUUCACCUGAUCUUAUUUCAUAGUAUUUUGAGUAGCUUUGUCCUAUUUCAGUUGACAACAUUUUUAACUACAGAAUGCACACCUGAAAUGGUAAUUAAAAUUUUAUGCUACACAUCGUAUUUCAGUAUGUAUGUUUUAACAUACAAUUCCUUUUGGCUUAAUGUCGAUACUAUAAGAUGUCUAUUGGAGAAAUUUCAAUAUAUAUGUGAUGAGCUAAUAGACGAAGGCGAAAUCGCUAUCAUAAAACUAUACGGGAACGGGGUGAAACGUUUUACAAUUAUGGUUUUAUUAUGCGCCAUGUCCAACUUAAGUAUUGCGUAUCUUCUACCAUUUUUCCCGCGAAUUCUUCGUACUUUUACGUCCAUAAAUGUGUCUGAAGAACAUUUUACGAUACAUGUUAUAAGAGAAUAUUUUAUCGAUCAAGAAAAAUAUUACUAUUGUAUUUUGAUGCACUUCGACGUAACCAUCUUUAUAGGAACAAUUGUGUCAAUAGCAUCAGGAACAUUGUUGUUUGGGUGCUCCAAAUAUAUUUGUGGAAUUUUUAGAAUCGCCAGUUAUCGUAUUGAUCAAGCAAUGCAGACUCCGACAUUACAACAUGCUGUUUUGUCGGACAAUUUUAUAAUUUAUGAGAAGAUUGUACAUGCCAUAGACAUUCAUCGCAAAGCAGUAAAAUUAUGUGAUAUGAUAACAUCCAAAUUCGUGGGAUCAUUUUUUGUAAUGAUGAUAGUUUUUAUUAUUAGCUUAAGUCUCAAUCUCUAUGGACUUCACCGGGCUCUAAUGCUUAGAAGCACCACGGAGGAAUAUGUAGCAUAUGUUUCAUUUACAGCCGCUCCUUUAGUGUACAUAUUCUUCGCCAAUUAUGCUGGACAGAAGAUCACAGAUCACCAUAAUUAUAUAUUUACCAGUGUAUACAACUUUAAGUGGUACAGAACUCCUUUAUAUAUACAAAGGAUAAUUUUGUUCCUGUUGCAAAGAAGCACUAAUAAUUAUUAUCUUGUUUUUGGUGGGCUGACUGUGUUGUCUCUGCAAAGUGCGGCCACGGUAAAAUUAUUUCAUGUUAUGUCAUGUUAUAAAAUUUCAUCAUAUGAUAAUCUUCAAAGCAGCAUGCAAAUAUGCAAAAUAUGUUUCAGAUGAUAAGCACUUCCAUAUCGUAUUUCACCGUUCUCUAUUCUACACAGCAAAGUCCAUGAUAUAAUUAAAUAACCUAAUUACUUUAUGACUUCUGACUUAAGCACAAGUAGAUUCUGCAUAUCAGAGAUUUCGUAGUCGAAUUCUUAUUUUCGCAAACAGAUGAAAUUUAUCACAAGAAAAUUAAGUGCUUUGAGGAACAAAUCGUCAUAAUAUUUUCCUGCGUACUAGAAACCUUCCGGUAAUAGUUCGAAAUACAAACCGGAUGAUGUGAUACUUUACAAGAAUACAAACAUGUUUCAAGGAAACUUAGUUCGGAAUAAACCGGAGGUUACCAUGCACUCAAAUAAAUGAUAUACGCUUGCGCGAAUUUCAUUCAAGACAUCAUUCUAUGACUGAUCUGUCAGAAAUAAAUAUCCGUUGAAUUUCUUUCUUUGUCCAUCGCUUAAUAGGCAACUUCUACCUCAGUCAAUUGUCACAGAAUUAUUUUGAUAUACGAUGAUGUUGUGCACCAUUUGUCUUACACUUGUACAAAAUUGAGUAAUUAGAAAUAUUACGCUUACAUAAAAGAAA
rnacentral:misc_RNA from 1 species